UUUGCUUAUCUUCACUCCCUAUACAAAUUUUGAUCUGCAUAUUUUUAUAAUGAAUUGCUUUCGGUUAUUGUCGCUGUCAUUCAAUUAUGUUGGGUUGCAUGCAAUUACAAAACAAUUUCCAUAAAAAGUCAAAUAUACACAAUAUACAAGCGCUGGAAAACCUACAAUAAAACAUUCCAUCAACCAGCUGAACAAGUAUUUUGUUAGCAUUCGUAAUAUUGAACAUUUGAAGUCUUCCGAUCGGUUCUUAUGGAAAAUUUCUGCAAUUUAUGUUUCUAUAUAAGUGAUAAUAGCAGUCGAAGAUAUAAAGCCGGAGAUUAGUAAAUUCCAUUUUGAAAAUGGAAUUUCGCAGUUUUUGCAUUUGGCACUUAAAUGGCAUAGAAAUAUGUUCACUUAACUAUUUCAGUUGUUGCUUUUAAUACAGAGUGGAACUGAUGCGUUUGAUGGUAACAUUUUAGCGAUCUCGUGAAGAGUCAUAAAAUGAUAACAUGGAUUUAGAAUAUUCCUGAGGAGUAGUAAAAACGCCAUAUUUUACGAGAAGAAAAUUACUUGAAUUGGAUAAUUAUACCAACAGAUUUGCUCAAGUGUGUUAUUUCAAAUGUGAUUCCAGGGAAAUUUAGGUCAACAGCUUGAAUUUAUAAGUCUUAACAUGUCCAUUUUAUAUCCUCUAAAUAAAGCAAGAUGUUAAGAUUACAGCUAGAAAGAAUAA